rnacentral:rRNA from 1 species
AUUGAACGCUGGCGGCAGGCCUAACACAUGCAAGUCGAGCGGAUGACGGGAGCUUGCUCCUUGAUUCAGCGGCGGACGGGUGAGUAAUGCCUAGGUAUCUGCCUGGUAGUGGGUGACAACGGUUCGAAAGGAACGCCAAUACCGCAUACGUCCUACGGGAGAAAUCAGGGGACCCUCGGGCGUUGCGCUAUCAGAUGAGCCUAGGUCGGAUUAGCUAGUUGGUGGGGUAAUGGCUCACCAAGGCGACGAUCCGUAACUGGUCUGAGAGGAUGAUCAGUCACACUGGAACUGAGACACGGUCCAGACUCCUACGGGAGGCAGCAGUGGGGAAUAUUGGACAAUGGGCGAAAGCCUGAUCCAGCCAUGCCGCGUGUGUGAAGAAGGUCUUCGGAUUGUAAAGCACUUUAAGUUGGGAGGAAGGGCAGUAAGCUAAUACCUUGCUGUUUUAACGUUACCGACAGAAUAAGCACCGGCUAACUCUGUGCCAGCCGCCGCAGUAA